UACGUAGGGGGCAAGCGUUAUCCGGAAUUACUGGGUGUAAAAGGAGCGUAGACGGUAAUGUAAGUCUGGAGUGAAAGGCGGGGGCCCAACCCCCGGACUGCUCUGGAAACUAUGUUACUAGAGUGCAGGAGAGGUAAGCGGAAUUCCUAGUGUAGCGGUGAAAUGCGUAGAUAUUAGGAGGAACACCAGUGGCGAAGGCGGCUUACUGGACUGUAACUGACGUUGAGGCUCGAAAGCGUGGGGAGCAAACAGG
rnacentral:rRNA from 1 species